CCCCAGACUCCUACGGGAGGCAGCAGUGGGGAAUAUUGCACAAUGGGGGAAACCCUGAUGCAGCGACGCCGCGUGAGUGAAGAAGUAUUUCGGUAUGUAAAGCUCUAUCAGCAGGGAAGAAAAUGACGGUACCUGACUAAGAAGCCCCGGCUAACUACGUGCCAGCAGCCGCGGUAAUACGUAGGGGGCAAGCGUUAUCCGGACUUACUGGGUGUAAAGGGAGCGUAGACGGCAUGGCAAGUCAGAUGUGAAAGCCCGGGGCUCAACCCCGGGACUGCAUUUGAAACUGUCAGGCUGGAGUGCAGGAGAGGUAAGUGGAAUUCCUAGUGUAGCGGUGAAAUGCGUAGAUAUUAGGAGGAACACCAGUGGCGAAGGCGGCUUACUGGACUGUAACUGACGUUGAGGCUCGAAAGCGUGGGGAGCAAACAGGAUUAGAUACCCCAGUAC
rnacentral:rRNA from 1 species